rnacentral:lncRNA from 1 species
AUUCUUGAUUCUUAGAUCAACUAGAGAACUCUCAGGAAACUUCCUCUCUUCCCACCAAAAAUAAUUAUAUAGUUAUCCUUGGGCGAUCUUGGAUCUUAAUUAGUACACUCACGUUCUCUGUGGAAAAUCGAUACUCUGGAAUACUCCCGGGUGAAAGCUACAUCGGUAUCUGUGCGCUUGCGGAUUUUUCUGUUUGCGUUUAAAAUACCCAACAAGCUUUUUGACGCCGUUGCCGGGGAACGGUAGCUGUGCUAGUUUCGAACCAAGUCGUCCGUGUAUCCUUUUUCUUUUCCUUUUUUUUACCACACUCACCUUAUCACUUUCACCAUACCACAUGGAUUUCACUCUAAGCAUUAAUGAGCAUGGAAUUUAUUUCAUAGCCACUUCAUUUACUCCAUGCUCAUAUGCAACAUCUUCACAAUCCAUUGGUCUCUCCAACAUCACCACAUGCGAGAUUUCCAACCCCCUCUUCCUUUCUAUUCAUAAAAACUUUAAAAGGGCGGUUGUCGAUGCAUAUGUCUAUAUUAAAUAUUGC